UACGGAGGGUGCGAGCGUUGUCCGGAAUGACUGGGCGUAAAGGGCGCGUAGGCGGUUUGGACAGUCAGAUGUGAAAUUCCUGGGCUCAACCUGGGGGCUGCAUUUGAUACGUUCGGACUAGAGUGGGGAAGAGGGUCGUGGAAUUCCCAGUGUAGAGGUGAAAUUCGUAGAUAUUGGGAAGAACACCGGUGGCGAAGGCGGCGACCUGGUCCUUGACUGACGCUGAGGCGCGAAAGCGUGGGGAGCAAACAGG
rnacentral:rRNA from 1 species